GACGAACGCUGGCGGCGUGCUUAACACAUGCAAGUCGAACGAUGAAGCUGGAGCUUGCUCCGGUGGAUUAGUGGCGAACGGGUGAGUAACACGUGAGCAAUCUGCCCUUGACUCUGGGAUAACUGCGGGAAACUGUAGCUAAUACCGGGUACUUUCACUGGAAGGCAUCUUCUGGUGAAGAAAGAAUUUCGGUCAAGGAUGAGCUCGCGGCCUAUCAGCUUGUUGGUGAGGUAACGGCUCACCAAGGCGACGACGGGUAGCCGGCCUGAGAGGGUGACCGGCCACACUGGGACUGAGACACGGCCCAGACUCCUACGGGAGGCAGCAGUGGGGAAUAUUGCACAAUGGGCGCAAGCCUGAUGCAGCAACGCCGCGUGAGGGAUGAAGGCCUUCGGGUUGUAAACCUCUUUUAGCAGGGAAGAAGCGAAAGUGACGGUACCUGCAGAAAAAGCACCGGCUAACUACGUGCCAGCCGCCGCGGUAA
rnacentral:rRNA from 1 species